CGGGUGGUAAUGCCGGAUGCUCCAUCACACCGCAUGGUGUGUUGGGAAAGCCUUUGCGGCAUGGGAUGGGGUCGCGUCCUAUCAGCUUGAUGGCGGGGUAACGGCCCACCAUGGCUUCGACGGGUAGCCGGCCUGAGAGGGCGACCGGCCACAUUGGGACUGAGAUACGGCCCAGACUCCUACGGGAGGCAGCAGUGGGGAAUAUUGCACAAUGGGCGCAAGCCUGAUGCAGCGACGCCGCGUGAGGGAUGGAGGCCUUCGGGUUGUAAACCUCUUUUGUUAGGGAGCAAGGCAUUUUGUGUUGAGUGUACCUUUCGAAUAAGCACCGGCUAACUACGUGCCAGCAGCCGCGGUAAUACGUAGGGUGCAAGCGUUAUCCGGAAUUAUUGGGCGUAAAGGGCUCGUAGGCGGUUCGUCGCGUCCGGUGUGAAAGUCCAUCGCUUAACGGUGGAUCCGCGCCGGGUACGGGCGGGCUUGAGUGCGGUAGGGGAGACUGGAAUUCCCGGUGUAACGGUGGAAUGUGUAGAUAU
rnacentral:rRNA from 1 species